rnacentral:rRNA from 1 species
UACGUAGGGUGCAAGCGUUGUCCGGAAUUAUUGGGCGUAAAGAGCUUGUAGGCGGUUUGUCGCGUCUGCUGUGAAAUUUCGGGGCUCAACCCCGAACUUGCAGUGGGUACGGGCAGACUAGAGUGUGGUAGGGGAGACUGGAAUUCCUGGUGUAGCGGUGAAAUGCGCAGAUAUCAGGAGGAACACCGGUGGCGAAGGCGGGUCUCUGGGCCACUACUGACGCUGAGAAGCGAAAGCAUGGGGAGCGAACAGG